rnacentral:rRNA from 1 species
GACGAACGCUGGCGGCGUGCUUAACACAUGCAAGUCGAACGGAAAGGCCCUGCUUUUGUGGGGUGCUCGAGUGGCGAACGGGUGAGUAACACGUGAGUAACCUGCCCUUGACUUUGGGAUAACUUCAGGAAACUGGGGCUAAUACCGGAUAGGAGCUCCUGCUGCAUGGUGGGGGUUGGAAAGUUUCGGCGGUUGGGGAUGGACUCGCGGCUUAUCAGCUUGUUGGUGGGGUAGUGGCUUACCAAGGCUUUGACGGGUAGCCGGCCUGGGAGGGUGACCGGCGACAUUGGGACUGAGAUAGGGCCCAGAAUCCUACGGGAGGCAGCAGUGGGGAAUAUUGCACAAUGGGCGGAAGCCUGAUGCAGCAACGCCGCGUGCGGGAUGACGGCCUUCGGGUUGUAAACCGCUUUCGCCUGUGACGAAGCGGGAGUGACGGUAAUGGGUAAAGAAGCACCGGCUAACUACGUG